AGUGAACGCUGGCGGUAGGCCUAACACAUGCAAGUCGAACGGCAGCACAGUAAGAGCUUGCUCUUACGGGUGGCGAGUGGCGGACGGGUGAGGAAUACAUCGGAAUCUACUUUUUCGUGGGGGAUAACGUAGGGAAACUUACGCUAAUACCGCAUACGACCUACGGGUGAAAGCAGGGGAUCUUCGGACCUUGCGCGAUUGAAUGAGCCGAUGUCGGAUUAGCUAGUUGGCGGGGUAAAGGCCCACCAAGGCGACGAUCCGUAGCUGGUCUGAGAGGAUGAUCAGCCACACUGGAACCGAGACACGGUCCAGACUCCUACGGGAGGCAGCAGUGGGGAAUAUUGGUCAAUGGGCGCAAGCCUGAUCCAGCCAUACCGCGUGGGUGAAGAAGGCCUUCGGGUUGUAAAGCCCUUUUGUUGGGAAAGAAAAGCAGCAGGUUAAUACCCCGCUGUUCUGACGGUACCCAAAGAAUAAGCACCGGCUAACUUCGUG
rnacentral:rRNA from 1 species